UACGGAGGAUCCAAGCGUUAUCCGGAUUUAUUGGGUUUAAAGGGUGCGUAGGCGGAUUGAUAAGUUAGAGGUGAAAUGUCCGAGCUCAACUCGGGAACUGCCUCUAAUACUGUACGACUUGAGUGCAGUAGAGGUUAGUGGAAUUCCUAGUGUAGCGGUGGAAUGCGUAGAUAUUAGGAGGAACACCAGAGGCGAAGGCGGCUAACUGGACUGUAACUGACGCUGAGGCACGAAAGUGUGGGGAGCAAACAGG
rnacentral:rRNA from 1 species